UCAAUAAAAGCCCACUGGAACUC
rnacentral:piRNA from 1 species